GAUGAACGCUGGCGGCGUGCUUAACACAUGCAAGUUGAACGGUGAAGGCGGAGCUUGCUCUGCUGGAUCAGUGGCGAACGGGUGAGUAACACGUGAGCAAUCUGCCCCUGACUCUGGGAUAAGCGCUGGAAGCGGCGUCUAAUACUGGAUACGAGCUGCGAAGGCAUCUUCAGCAGCUGGAAAGAAUUUCGGUCAGGGAUGAGCUCGCGGCCUAUCAGCUUGUUGGUGAGGUAAUGGCUCACCAAGGCGUCGACGGGUAGCCGGCCUGAGAGGGUGACCGGCCACACUGGGACUGAGACACGGCCCAGACUCCUACGGGAGGCAGCAGUGGGGAAUAUUGCACAAUGGGCGAAAGCCUGAUGCAGCAACGCCGCGUGAGGGACGACGGCCUUCGGGUUGUAAACCUCUUUUAGCAGGGAAGAAGCGAAAGUGACGGUACCUGCAGAAAAAGCGCCGGCUAACUACGUG
rnacentral:rRNA from 1 species